UCACUCAGUAAGUGCUAGC
rnacentral:piRNA from 2 species